UACGUAGGGUCCGAGCGUUGUCCGGAAUUAUUGGGCGUAAAGGGCUCGUAGGCGGUUUGUCGCGUCGGGAGUGAAAACUUGGGGCUUAACCCCAUUCGUGCUUCCGAUACGGGCAGACUAGAGGCAGGCAGGGGAGAACGGAAUUCCUGGUGUAGCGGUGGAAUGCGCAGAUAUCAGGAGGAACACCGGUGGCGAAGGCGGUUCUCUGGGCCUGUUCUGACGCUGAGGAGCGAAAGCAUGGGGAGCGAACAGGAUUAGAUACCCUGGUAGUCCAUGCCGUAAACGUUGGGCGCUAGGUGUGGGAUCCAUUCCACGGGUUCCGUGCCGCAGCUAACGCAUUAAGCGCCCCGCCUGGGGAGUACGGCCGCAAGGCUAAA
rnacentral:rRNA from 1 species